CAGUCGCCGCGGGAAAACGAAGGGGGCUAGCGUUGUUCGGAUUUACUGGGCGUAAAGGGUGCGUAGGCGGAUUGUUAAGUCAGGGGUGAAAUCCCGAGGCUCAACCUCGGAACUGCCUUUGAUACUGGCGAUCUUGAGUCCGAGAGAGGUGAGUGGAACUGCGAGUGUAGAGGUGAAAUUCGUAGAUAUUCGCAAGAACACCGGUGGCGAAGGCGGCUCACUGGCCCGGAACUGACGCUGAGGAGCGAAAGCGUGGGGAGCGAACAGGAUUAGAUACCCCUGUAGUCCCUGUCUCUUAUAC
rnacentral:rRNA from 1 species